GAGGCGUGUUCCACCACUGUGGACGGGGUCCCUGGGCUUUCCCCUAGGGUCCCAUCAGCUGCUUAUGUUCUACCUUCUGACGGAUCACAGGAGGAGCCUGCAGCGGAGGAGCCUCCUCCUCCUCAGCAUCAGACCUAAAGGGAGUGUCCUGCCUGAAGGACCGGCUCAAGGUCGCACUAACAGCUCUUGCUAACUCCUGUUCCAGGCUGUUUAUCUGGGCCUCCAAGUACCCUGCUUGCGCCUGGAGGUCUCUCACCCCCAGGUCCUGCUCAAAGCUGUGCACUUGGGCCCCCAGGCAUGCGGCUUGCUCCGGAAGGUCCCUUACCUGUGGCACUGAGCAUGUACUUCCUGCAGUGCAGUUAGAAAUGCCCAUCCGACUCUGCUUGCAAAGGCACAGCUGCUUAAAGACUGUUACCGGAAAGGAAUCCUGAUCCAGACGCCAAGAGAGGGUUCUUGGACUCAUGCAAGAAAGACUUCAGUUCUCAGGUCCCUGGACCAUGAAGGGCCACAUCCAAGGAGCUACCCCAGGAGGCCUCUCAUUUGCAUUUGUCCCCGCUAAUGCAGGACAGAGAUCAUGGAAGUUGGGCCCGACUGGAUGAGAUUUGGGGGUCUUUGGAAGUGGAGAAUGUGUUUGCCCUGGGGAAGAGAGGUGAUGUCUAGGAGACCUCUUCACUCAGGGCAAGCUCUAUGACCUGCUUUGACUCCAGAAUGUGGUAGAAGUGGCAUCACAUAAAUUGCAGAGCCUAGGCUUCAAGAGACCUUGCAACUUGCCUCUCACUGACUUGAAGUGCUCCCAUCAGAGCAUCUUGUAAGGAGCAGGUGGAGCAUGUGGACAAGCCAUCCCCACCAGCCCCUGAGACAUGUGAGAGAGGCCAGAACAGGCCAUCCGGACCCCACUGUGCUGGUGGAUGAGACAGCAGAAGGAAUAUCAACCUACCAACAGAAUCCUGAGAAAUGCUCACUCUUACUUCAAGCUGCUGCAUUUUGAUGUUAUGAAACCAUAAAUAACUUAUGAAGUCAUCUUUGCUGACUUAAAGUUUUCCAUAACUUUAUUAUAACAUAUCAAAAUUAUGAAAAAUGUGAAAAGUAGAAAACUGAUGAAUUUUGCUUCUUCAUAUGGUCUUUAAGAAUCUCAAAGGCACUGAAGUUUUUUAUCUUUUCUGUCUUAGAAUAAAAAACCUUGAAUGAAAAUCUGCUUCUUGGAAAAGCAGCAAGGUUUAUGCAGAGGCAAUCUGGUAUUUGUGUGCACUGGCAGCUGAUCAUACCCAGCAUGCACGCACUCUCAGGGCAGAGUCUGAUGCCCCACAUAAUGGGGCAUGGUAAGGACUCCCAUGUCCUUGAGAUAAAAUGAUAAGGAAAAUACACACUGCUAUUAGAAUAACAGGCCCAGCUUCUGCACAUUUUAAUUCCCAAAGUUUUCAUGAAAGACAAUGAUUUUUUGGUACCAUGUUUAACUCUACAAGAAUCAGUAGUGAAAACUAAAAAUGAUACUUUGUGAAAGUUCAUUAAUUUUGUUUUCAGCCAGUGGUGGCCUUGGUCAGAUAGAAUCAAAUCUAUGAUACUUUUUAUCAGAAAUGCUUAUACUGUGUACAAACCCAAAGUGAUGGCUUUCAAAGAUUGAAUUUGAUUAUUUUCUGUAUGGUGCAGAUGAAAAAUUACUACACAGGAGAAGGUGGGUUGGAGGUGCUCACGAGUAACCAGGAAACAGUCUGAAGUUUUUCUGAUACUUCUCCUUGGUCCAACCAAAUGUGAGAUAUAAACACAAACUUG
rnacentral:lncRNA from 1 species